rnacentral:lncRNA from 1 species
GUUGGCCUCAAGAAUGACUCUGUGUCUUAUCUAGCUUCUCUCUUCUCUCUGCUUCUCAGUUCUAUCCUCUUCUCCUGUAGUUGAUUUUCUCUACAAAGCAGAUUGACUUCCUUCAGUUAGUCUCUGGCAACUAGAAUGGGCUCAUCCACAUAGCACGUGACCAGGAAGGAAAAGGUUCGUCACAGCAGCUCCAGUUCACAAUUCUUAGGGAAGAGAUUGGCCCGUUGGCUAAUCACUGUGAUGAGGAGUGUGCAGAAGUUCCAUAUGCUUCCAGCUUAAUCGAGUAUCAUUCACUGUGGUCAUGGAGAUGGAAUCUUAUUAGAUCGCUUUGGUAACAGCUGAUGGGAGGCAGGAGGUGGGAAAAGAAGGAGUUCCCCAAAAAGGAGAAGAGAGCUGUUCCCAUAAAAAGAGAAGAGUGUGAAAGAAGGGAAUGUAUUAGCCAACAGAAGGGGGGAAAAAUGCCCAAACCUCUGUGCACACUAGUGUCUGAUCAUCCAUGGGAGACUGAUUACUCGAUGCUGGAAGUCCGCACUGCGUGGCUCCCCGCCUCAGGUUCUGCAUAGUCAGGAGCAUCUAGGGGAAAUAUGAAUAUCUUCUGCUGGGAUAAAUGCUCUGCCACAUUCCUUGGGAUUCCAGGAUCAAUACAUAGAUUAACUAAAGCUGUGAUGACUGGAGUUUAAGCAGCCAUCUUGGUCCAGAAGGUGGUGGAAACAUUUUGAGGAUGAUAAUACUAUCGUGUAGAAGGAGUCUAAGUCCCUGAUGAUUACGGAGCUGCCCUACAAGUCCUGAACUACUGACUCCCCAUCUUUGUUAAUAUGAAAGAGAAAUAAACUUUUAUUUAAGUCACUGUCUUUCUGCAUUUUCUGUCACUCAUGGUUGAACUUAAUUCUGACUGACAUACUGGGCACGUUCCAUAUUUCAUCAGUCAAACUUACCAUGUGGACUUUGACCAUGAGGGCUUUUCAAAGUGUUCCUACUUGAUCUCAUCUCCAAAUUGGGCUUUAUUUCUUUGUUCUCUAGUUUCUCUCAUGACUUUGCUCUGGC